CCGGGAGUGCGGGAAAUCAGCCUUCCAAGCUGAAUACGAGGGUUCGAUUCCCUUCACCCGCUUCA
rnacentral:tRNA from 1 species